GGUGGUCGCCUGGGUCCCCCUCGGCCCCGAUGGGCUGAGCGGGGCGGGCCGGGGUCACCUGGGCCCCCCCUCGGCCCCGAUGGGCUGAGCGGGGCGGGCCGGGGUCACCUGGGCCCCCCCCUUGGUCCUGAUGGGCUGAGUCGGGCGGGCCGGGGUCCUCCUGGGUCCCCCUGGGCCCUGGUGGGCUGAGCCGGGCGGGCCGGGGUCACCUGGGUCCCCCUGGGCCCCGAUGGGCUGAGCAGGGCGGGCCGGGGUCACCUGGGCCGCCCCCCCCCCCGGGCCCUGAUGGGCUGAGUCGGGCGGGCCGGGGUCCUCCUGGGUCCCCCUGGGCCCUGAUGGGCUGAGCGGGGCGGGCCGGGGUCACCUGGGUCCCCCUCGGCCCUGAUGGGCUGAGCGGGGUGGGCUAGGGUCUGCCUGGGACAGCCAUGAGGAAAAGAAGAAAGGUCCCCUUUAAACUGGUACAGGUGGUGAAAAAGCUUUGCUGGUGGAAGAGGAGGGGAGAGCAAGGGUCCCCGAUAUGCUAGGUGCUUCGGAUGUGCUCACCUAUGUUUACUGUGUUCAUUUAAUUGCAGGAAACGCGGGGAACGUGGUCCUCCAGGAUCCCCCUGAGAGCAUCCCCAUGGCACACUCUCCAGGGGCAGACACUAACAGAUCAGGGACUUGGAUGAGGAAGACCUGUCAUCUGAUGACUUCCAGUGCAAUGUUGAAUAGGAGUGGCAAGAGCAGACACCCUUGUCUUAUUCCUGGUCUUGGAAAGCUUUGAACCUCUCACCAUUGAGUAUGAUGUUAGCUGUGGGUUUGUCAUAGAUGCCCUUUAUUAUGGUCACUUUUCUUCACUGGAAGCUUUUACAACCUUCUCAGCCAUGAGUGACUCGCAGAUUCAUCAUGAUGUGCCUAAGCAUGGAUGCUUUUCAUUUAUGUGCUCAGGGAUUCAGUGGGGAUUCUCAGGGAUUAUGUCAACAAAGAUGGCGUUAGCCCCAUUCCUUCUCUUUCUCUUGGAGUUCAGCGAGAUUAAUGAUAGGCCUGCUCAUUUUAUUCUCCAUUUUUCUUAACUUUCUUUCAUAUUUUCUCUUUUCCUCUGUACUGCAUCUUGGAUAGUUAUUGUAAGAUUCAUUUUGGAAUUCAUCAACUUUAUCUUCUGCCGUGACUUUAGUUAAACCUAUCCACUGAGUUUAAUAAUUCAAUUAUAUUUUAUCUUUAUAAUUUGGUUCUUUUUCAAAUCUAGUUGGUAAACUUUUCCAGCUUUUUAAUGACAAAAUUAUCCAACAUACAAAAUAAUUGAAAAAAUAGUAUAAUGAACUCCUAUAUUCCAAAACUUAGAUUCAACAGUCUUAAUAUUUUUGUCAUGUUUGCUUUAUCUAUUUAUUUUCCUGUUGCCUUUUGUUUUUCUGUGGGUGUGGGUUUUGUUUCUUGUUAUUUUGUUUUUGCCAAGCUAUUUGAAAUAAGCUGCAAACAUCACGCUUUACCCCUAACUACGUCAGCAUGAAUCUCUUAAGAAUACGUGCCUUUCCCUACAUAUCCAUGAUAUCGUUACUAUACCUAAGAAAAGUAUCAAUAAUCUCCUAAUAUAUUUAAUAUCUAGUCCAUAUUCAAAUACUCCCAAUUGUCUCUAAAGAUUCUUACUUUCCCAAUCAGGAUCCAAUAAGGACUCAUGACUUAAAUUCUUAUUGGCUCAUUUUAUUUUAACAGCUUUGUUGAAAUAUAAUUGAUAUACAACAAACACAUAUUUAAGGGUGAAGUUUGAUCAGUUUUGACACGUGUAUACAAAUGUGAAGCCAUCAAUACAAUCAAGAUUCGGGUCCAGAUUCAUUCACCCCGAGUGCACUCAGGCCAUUACAGGCCUCUCUGGUGGCCUGUUCUACUGUUGCCUGCAGCCGUGAUCUGCCUCCUACUUGACCUUGUCCCUGUGCUGGUGGAGCGUCUGAGAGGGAAGAAGUGUUGUUGGAAUUACACAAGAGAUGAAGGAGAAAACACACUCUUCAUUUGGCUGUUAGUAGUAUCAAUUGGUGGAUGGAUAAUACAUAACUUAGAACAAACUGGAAAGAAACAUAAACAUCAAGAACAAGACUCCAGAUGCUGGGAUAAAUUAGCAAACAAGCAGCCAUGCCCCUGCUACCGAGCAGCUGACAUUCUGUGGAUGGAGACUGAAGAGAAGCAAGCAACCAGACAGAAGCUUGUUCUUGUUCAUAGAAAAUAAUUUCCAGGAACAACAGAUCACAACCAAGUCUAUAGAUAAGCAUCUGAAUUACAGAAUUUGAAAGUCAGAAGGAGCCCUAGAGAUUAUGUGGUCCAGUCUCCUCACGUUGCAGACAAGGCCACAGACCCAGAAGGACGGCGCUUCAAGACUCAAUUAUUUAAUCCUGAGAGCGCCCCAUGACAUUUUAGCUGCAUAAAAUUAGUCACAGUGACAUUACAUCCCGAUCCAGGAGCCCUCGGAUAGCGGCACUGCGCUCCCUCUGAAUGGCUGGAAUGACAGGACACCUUGGCAGACAACCAUGAUUUUUCUUCCCCUGACUUCAUCCUCCGCAUGACCUUUGUCAACAUGUCGACUUCCCUGGAGAACCCUGCUUAAACAUGGCAGAUCAGAUGCGUAGGAUAUUCUGGUAUCCUCCUGAGGUUGUGCCAAAAUGACGGCAAGGGAAAAACAGUUACUAAUGCCUAAGAAAAAAGGCAAACAAACAGAAGUGAUAAAUUGGGGAGUUUGGGGAGAUGGAGAGUAGAUGGACAUGCGGCACAUGACUUAGCAACUGGGGGAAGCUCAUGCCACAUUAGCUUCACGGGAGCCAACCAGAGGCGAGCUGAGGUGUGAACACCUUGGGAUCUUCCUGCUGCCCCUGGAAGGAGGCUUUAAAGGGAAAACCUGCAAGCAGUCUUGGUGUCUGCAGGAACUCCCAGUUCUGCUUCCUCAGCCUGCAUGUGCUGGCGACUACUCAACCCAACACACCCAACCCAUACCAGAGACUGGAGAAACCUGUUCAGGAAGGCUCUGGUCCCAGGGAUGCUAGGGACAGCUGAGGGCAAGGGGGAGGAGGCACCCUGCCAGGAGAUCUGCCCACUGCUCCCUUUUGUAAAUAAAUUGGAACAUAGCCCUUCACAUUCAUUUUCGUGUUGUCUGUGGCUUCAUUCGUGUUACAACACACCACAACAGCAGAGUGAGGGUGGAGGGGUGGCAACAGACACUAUAUAUCCUCCACAGCCUAAAACAUGUGCUAUCUGCUCCCUUACAGAAAAUGUCUGCUGACUGCUACUCUAGAGUGAGGACCACCAGGCAACUACAGGGCUCCCCAUCAGCUUUAACUCACUCUCGAAUAGUGACUUAUGCAUGCUAAUGUGGACAAGUAAACACUGACACACAUUUGGGGAGAUAUUCCAGCAUGGAAAACAGAGACAAAACAAACAGAGCAGAAGAACUCAGGGAAAAGAAAAGACAGUGCAGGGAGCAAAAGAACACUUUGAAAAUAUUUCUAUCCUUAACGUCCUUGCAGAGGAUGUUUUUUCAAAUCCAGGAAGCUUUUGUUGGGGUUUUAAAAUGGCCAUCAUGACAAUUAAACUUCCCAGUGAACCAGGGUUCCCCGAAGUUGGUGGUUGGAUGAUCCCACCUGGGGACAGAAGUGAGCAACACUUGCAGGAUGAAGCAGAGGACAGCCAUUUUCCUUCUGUCCUUGAACGUGGAGAAGCAGCAGAGGCAAAGCUUCAAACACCUGGCCAUGGACUGGAGAGAAGAAUGUCAGAAAACAUGGCCCGUGGGGGGUGUUGGAAUAUAGAAGGGUCACCCGGAUCCUCCAGCCUGUCCACUCUGCUGUUCUGAAAGGUCACUUCUAAGCUGCUGGUCUCCAUUGGGUAACCAUCUUUCAUAGGAUUUUGAUUUUAUUUAUUUAUUUGUUUAUUUAUUUAUUUAAGGUGUGGAGGGGCAGAGGGAGAAAGAUAAUCUUUUUUUUUUUU